rnacentral:rRNA from 1 species
CCUACGGGAGACUGCAGUAGGGAAUAUUGCUCAAUGGGGGAAACCCUGAAGCAGCAACGCCGCGUGGAGGAUGAAGGUUUUCGGAUUGUAAACUCCUUUUGUUAGAGAAGAUAAUUACGGUAUCUAACGAAUAACCACCGGCUAACUCCGUGCCAGCAGCCGCGGUAAUACUGUGGGUGCAAGCGUUACUCGGAAUCACUGGGCGUAAAGAGCGCGUAGGUGGGAUAGCAAGUCAGCUGUGAAAUCCUAUGGCUUAACCAUAGAACUGCAUUUGAAACUAUUAUUCUAGAGUAUGGGAGAGGUAGGUGGAAUUCUUGGUGUAGGGGUAAAAUCCGUAGAGAUCAAGAAGAAUACUCAUGGCGAAGGCGGCCUGCUGGAACAUAACUGACGCUGAUGCGCGAAAGCGUGGGGAGCAAACAGGAUUAGAUACCCGGGUAGUC